rnacentral:rRNA from 1 species
GAGCGAACAGGAUUAGAUACCCUGGUAGUCCACGCCGUAAACGAUGAGUGCUAGGUGUUAGGCCCUUUCCGGGGCUUAGUGCCGCAGCUAACGCAUUAAGCACUCCGCCUGGGGAGUACGACCGCAAGGUUGAAACUCAAAGGAAUUGACGGGGGCCCGCACAAGCGGUGGAGCAUGUGGUUUAAUUCGAAGCAACGCGAAGAACCUUACCAGGUCUUGACAUCCCGAUGCCCGCUCUAGAGAUAGAGUUUUACUUCGGUACAUCGGUGACAGGUGGUGCAUGGUUGUCGUCAGCUCGUGUCGUGAGAUGUUGGGUUAAGUCCCGCAACGAGCGCAACCCUUAUUGUUAGUUGCCAUCAUUCAGUUGGGCACUCUAGCGAGACUGCCGGUAAUAAACCGGAGGAAGGUGGGGAUGACGUCAAAUCAUCAUGCCCCUUAUGACCUGGGCUACACACGUGCUACAAUGGCUGGUACAACGAGUCGCAAGUCGGUGACGGCAAGCUAAUCUCUUAAAGCCAGUCUCAGUUCGGAUUGUAGGCUGCAACUCGCCUACAUGAAGUCGGAAUCGCUAGUAAUCGCGGAUCAGCACGCCGCGGUGAAUACGUUCCCGGGCCUUGUACACACCGCCCGUCACACCACGAGAGUUUGUAACACCCGAAGUCGGUGAGGUAACCUUUUAGGAGCC